AUUGAACGCUGGCGGCAGGCCUAACACAUGCAAGUCGAACGAUUGGCGGACGGGUGAGUAAUGUCUGGGAAACUGCUCGACGGAGGGGGAUAACUACUGGAAACGGUAGCUACUACUGCAUCCCAUCGGAUUUGCCAAGAUCGGUGUAGCUAGUAGGUGGGGUAACGGCUCACCUGGGCAGCGAUCCCUAGCUGGUCUGCGCGGAUGACCAGCCACACUGGAACUGAGACACGGUCAAGACGCCUACGGGAGGCAGAAGUGGGUAAUAUUGCAAAAUGGGCGCAAGCCUGAUGCAGCCAUGCCGCGUGUAUGAAGAAGGCCUUCGGGUUGUAAGGUACUUUCAGCGAGGAGGCGUUACUCGCAGAAGAAGCACCGGCUAACUCCGUGCCAGCAGCCGCGGUAAUUC
rnacentral:rRNA from 1 species